CGGGGUGCAGCAGGCGCGAAACCUCUGCAAUAGGCGAAAGCCUGACAGGGUUACUCUGAGUGAUUCCCGCUAAGGGGAUCUUUUGGCACCUCUAAAAAUGGUGCAGAAUAAGGGGUGGGCAAGCCUGGUGUCAGCCGCCGCGGUAAUACCAGCACCCCGAGUGGUCGGGACGAUUAUUGGGCCUAAAGCAUCCGUAGCCGGCCACGCAAGUCCUCCGUUAAAUCCACCCGCUCAACGGUUGGGCUGCGGAGGAUACUACGUGGCUAGGAGGCGGGAGAGGCAAGCGGUACUCAAUGGGUAGGGGUAAAAUCCUUUGAUCCAUUGAAGACCACCAGUGGCGAAGGCGGCUUGCCAGAACGCGCUCGACGGUGAGGGAUGAAAGCUGGGGGAGCAAACCGGAUUAGAUACCCGGGUAGUCCCAGCUGUAAACGAUGCAGACUCGGUGAUGGGAUGGCCUCGAGCCAUCCCAGUGCCGCAGGGAAGCCGUUAAGUCUGCCGCCUGGGGAGUACGGUCGCAAGACUGAAACUUAAAGGAAUUGGCGGGGGA
rnacentral:rRNA from 1 species